GUGUUUGGGUCUCAGCAGGGCUUGCCCGGCGUGGAUCGAUUCGGCCCAGCAGGCUGCACGGGGGUCAACUCUCCUAGAGGCGUCUUGUCCUCCCACAGUCACAUGAGCCCGGAGAGUGUGCGCCUCAUACACAGACACAGCCCUCUGAACCUGCAGGGCUCGAUCCGUCACUCGUCCUCCUCUCUGUCCUCUCACACGUCCAGUGAGGCAGGAAACCUUGUUAUCAUGACUGACGGCCUCAUGGGGGAGCACCCUGAAGAGGCAUUACACAUGCAGCCGAGCCCCUCCUCCUCCAGCCUGAGCUCCAUCCGCUCCAACUCUUCACAG
rnacentral:lncRNA from 1 species